AUGCCGCCUCGUCCCCAGCCGCCACCGGCGGCGUACAAGCACUUCUGCAGAGUCUGCAACAAGGGGUUCACGUGCGGCAGCGCGCUCGGCGGGCACAUGAGGGCCCACGCCGUCGCCGACGACGGCCCGGGCGCCGACGACGACGACGACGAUCCCGUGUCGUCUGCGCGCGGCGGGGAAGAUGGGCCGUCCACGGCAGGAGCAGCGACGACGCACGUCUACGCGCUCCGGGCGAACCCUAACCGCCUCACCAGGGGCUGCCAGGUGUGCAAGAACUGUGGGAAGGAGUUCUCUUCGAUGGAGCUUUUCCUGGAGCACGGCAAGUGCACCUCGGGGGAAGAGGAGGACGCCGACGGAUCGUCGCCUCCGUCCGUGGCCGACGAAGAGGAGAACGCUUCGCUGGCCUCUGGGUGGUCAAAGGGGAAGCGCUCGCGCCGCGCCAAGUCGAUCGCUGGCGGAGGCGAUGAUACAAUGCCCGGGCCGUCAACGGCGCCGUCUGGCGAGGACGAGGAGGAGGACCUGGCAAAUUGCCUCGUCAUGCUCUCGUCGUCCAAGGCCGAUCAGGCUAGCGCCGCCGCCGAGGCCGACCCAGAGCCAUGCGCGCCGGCCAGCAAGGAACACGGGAGAAGGCCUCAUCCACAGCCGCAGCACUUCCCGAUCGUCAUAGCGGCGCCGGAUCAAGCGAUAAUGCUGCCCCUGGCGUUGCCAGCACCGCAACCGCAAUACGCCUCGCCCCUGCCACGCGGCUUGUUCGAGUGCAAGGCAUGCAAGAAGGUGUUCACUUCGCACCAAGCUCUCGGCGGACACCGUGCCAGCCACAAGAAGGUCAAGGGCUGCUUCGCUGCCAAGCCCGAGAGCAGCGUCGGUGGAACACCUCACCACCACGCAGCGGCCGCCGGUCCCAGCGAUGAAAAGGGUGAUGCCGCCGCCGUCGAUGUCAUCCAUGCAAGUGGCAGCGUUGAUGCCAGGACAAACGCCGAUGCCAGCACCGGUGGCGACACGAACGCCGGGACGAGCGGGGCCACGCCAUCCCUGUCAAUGGCCAUCACGACCACCGACCAUGAACCGCCGGUCGCGGGGUUGGCCAUUGCACCGUUCAAGAAGAAGGCCAAGAUGCACGAGUGCUCCGUGUGCCACCGCCUCUUCGCCUCUGGUCAAGCGCUCGGAGGCCACAAGCGGUGCCACUGGCUCACUUCGGGGACAGGGGAUCACGCCAACAUCACAUCCCUGACAGCCGAAGGCCUGGUCGCCGCUGCCGGCCAGCAGCUCACUCUCCGGCUAAUGAUGGACCCUCCAGAGCCGGCGCUAGACCUCACCAUCGCGGCCAACCCGUUGCCGUUGAUGGCCAGCGCGACGGUCGCCGAGGCCAGAACCAGCUCGCUGCACCUUGACGCGUCCCCGUCGCUCUACUUCCAGCCAGCGGCGGCACCAAGCAAUCCCAGCCACCAGAACAAGAUGGCCGCGACGAGCAGCCACAACGCUAACGACGCUGCUACUCCCCGCGAGGCCGCCGAGGACGAGGCGGACAGCACAGCCGUCAAGAAGGCCAAGCUUAGUGAUCUCAAGGACGUGAGUGCAGCGGGGGAGACGACGCCGUGGUUGCAGGUCGGCAUUGGCUCCUCGUCGGCCGGUGGUGACGGGAAGAGUGCCUGCGAAUGA
rnacentral:rRNA from 1 species